rnacentral:rRNA from 1 species
UACAGAGGUCUCAAGCGUUGUUCGGAUUCAUUGGGCGUAAAGGGUGCGUAGGCGGCGCGGUAAGUCGGGUGUGAAAUCUCGGGGCUCAACUCCGAAACUGCAUUCGAUACUGCCGUGCUUGAGGACUGGAGAGGAGACUGGAAUUUACGGUGUAGCGGUGAAAUGCGUAGAUAUCGUAAGGAAGACCAGUGGCGAAGGCGGGUCUCUGGACAGUUCCUGACGCUGAGGCACGAAGGUCAGGGGAGCAAACGGG